UAUAUUUGACAGUGGGCGAAAGGCUGAUCCAGCCAUGCCGCGCGUGUGAAGAAGGUCCUCGUUUUGUAUAGCACUUUAUGUUGGGAGGCAGGGCAGAUAGUAAAUAUCUUGCUGUCUUGACGUUACCGACAGAAUAAGUACCGGUUAACUUAGUUCCAGCAGCCGCGGUAAUACGAAGGGUGCAAGCGUUAAUCGGAAUUACUUGGCGUAAUGCGCGCGUAGGUGGUUUGUUAAGUUGGAAGUGAAAGCACCGGGCUCAACCUGGGAACUGCUUUCAAAACUGGCAAGCUAGAGUAUGGCAGAGGGUGGUGGAAUUUCCUGUGUAGCAGUGAUAUGCGUAGAUAUAGGAAGGAACACCAGUGGCUAAGGCGACCACCUGGGCUAAUACUGACACUGAGGUGCGAAAGCGUGGGGAGCAAAC
rnacentral:rRNA from 1 species